rnacentral:rRNA from 1 species
CGCAACGAGCGCAACCCUUGAUCUUAGUUGCCAGCAUUCAGUUGGGCACUCUAAGGGGACUGCCGGUGACAAACCGGAGGAAGGUGGGGAUGACGUCAAAUCAUCAUGCCCCUUAUGACCUGGGCUACACACGUGCUACAAUGGACAGAACAAAGGGCAGCGAAACCGCGAGGUUAAGCCAAUCCCACAAAUCUGUUCUCAGUUCGGAUUGCAGUCUGCAACUCGCCUGCCUGAAGCUGGAAUCGCUAGUAAUCGCGGAUCACCAUGCCGCGGUGAAUACGUUCCCGGGCCUUGUACACACCCCCCGAA